rnacentral:rRNA from 1 species
CCUACGGGUGGCAGCAGUGAGGAAUAUUGGUCAAUGGGCGGGAGCCUGAACCAGCCAAGCCGCGUGAGGGAAGAAGGUACAGCGUAUCGUAAACCUCUUUUGUCAGGGAACAAAGGCGGGGACUAGUCCCCGGAUGAGGGUACCUGAAGAAAAAGCAUCGGCUAACUCCGUGCCAGCAGCCGCGGUAAUACGGAGGAUGCGAGCGUUAUCCGGAUUUAUUGGGUUUAGAGGGUGCGCGGGGGGCCUGUUAAGUCAGCGGGAAAAGCCCGGGGCUCAACCCCGGCGAGCCGUUGAAACUGGCGGGCUGGAGUGGGAGAGAGGUACGCGGAAUGCGCGGUGUAGCGGUGAAAUGCUUAGAUAUCGCGCAGAACACCGAUUGCGAAGGCAGCGUACCGGCUCCACACUGACGCUGAGGCACGAAAGCGUGGGUAUCGAACAGGAUUAGAUACCCGAGUAGUC